rnacentral:rRNA from 1 species
AACGAACGCUGGCGGCAGGCCUAACACAUGCAAGUCGAGCGAGGACUUCGGUCCUAGCGGCGGACGGGUGAGUAACGCGUGGGAACGUGCCCUUUGCUUCGGAAUAGCCCUGGGAAACUGGGAGUAAUACCGGAUGAGCCCUUUGGGGGAAAGAUUUAUCGGCGAAGGAUCGGCCCGCGUUGGAUUAGGUAGUUGGUGGGGUAAUGGCCUACCAAGCCGACGAUCCAUAGCUGGUUUGAGAGGAUGAUCAGCCACACUGGGACUGAGACACGGCCCAGACUCCUACGGGAAGCAGCAGUGGGGAAUCUUAGACAAUGGGGGAGACCCUGAUCUAGCCAUGCCGCGUGAGCGAUGAAGGCCUUAGGGUUGUAAAGCUCUUUCAGCUGGGAAGAUAAUGACGGUACCAGCAGAAGAAGCCCCGGCUAACUCCGUG